GGUUGUGGCUAAUAUCAAUCGAGCCGUGUCUGACAAGGAAGCCUGGGAGAUCCUGGAGAGCAGCAUGACAGAUAUGGUGCAGGGAGGGGCCUGCACUGGCAUCACUUUCAUCUGCACCAAAACUGAUGAUAUGAAUGCUGAGGAAUACAUGAGAUCACAAAAGUCAGUCUUUUUUAUCUCAAUUUUUUGUCUAUGUAAGUGUAUGCAGUACUCAAGAGUGUGUUCAGUGUACUGCUUGUUCAGUUUAUUAGGUUAUUAGAUUUAAAACAGUAUGCAGACAUAUUUUAUUUUCACAUCCCUUAGACUGAACAACGAAGAUCUAAAAAUCACAGCGGACAAUGAUAGAAAACGUGGAUGUAUACUGCACAGGAAUAACAUGGCCAAGGAGGAAGUGAAA